rnacentral:rRNA from 1 species
AUACGGAGGAUCCGAGCGUUAUCCGGAUUUAUUGGGUUUAAAGGGUGCGCAGGCGGCCAUUUAAGUCAGCGGUUAAAUCGUGGGGCUCAACCCCAUUCUGCCGUUGAUACUGGGUGGCUUGAUUGCGGUCGAGGUUGGCGGAAUUCGCUGUGUAGCGGUGAAAUGCAUAGAUAUGACGAAGAACACCGAUUGCGUAGGCAGCUGACCAGACCGCAAAUGACGCUCAUGCACGAAAGUGCGGGGAUCGAACAGGAUUAGAUACCCUGGUAGUCCGCACAGUAAACGAUGAAUACUUGUUUUCGGCGAUAUAAUGUCGGAGGCAAAGCGAAAGCGAUAAGUAUUCCACCUGGGGAGUACGCCGGCAACGGUGAAACUCAAAUGAAUUGACGGGG